rfam:TPA: Bos taurus chromosome 27, whole genome shotgun sequence.
UCCCUGGCAGUCCAGUGGUAAAGACUCUGCACUUUCACUGCUGACGGCCCAGGUUUGAUCCCUGGUCAGGGAA